AGUAUGUCUGGGAACUGCCUGAUGGAGGGGGAUAACUACUGGAAACGGUAGCUAAUACCGCAUAACGUCGCAAGACCAAAGAGGGGGACCUUCGGGCCUCUUGCCAUCGGAUGUGCCCAGAUGGGAUUAGCUAGUAGGUGGGGUAACGGCUCACCUAGGCGACGAUCCCUAGCUGGUCUGAGAGGAUGACCAGCCACACUGGAACUGAGACACGGUCCAGACUCCUACGGGAGGCAGCAGUGGGGAAUAUUGCACAAUGGGCGCAAGCCUGAUGCAGCCAUGCCGCGUGUAUGAAGAAGGCCUUCGGGUUGUAAAGUACUUUCAGCGGGGAGGAAGGGAGUAAAGUUAAUACCUUUGCUCAUUGACGUUACCCGCAGAAGAAGCACCGGCUAACUCCGUGCCAGCAGCCGCGGUAAUACGGAGGGUGCAAGCGUUAAUCGGAAUUACUGGGCGUAAAGCGCACGCAGGCGGUUUGUUAAGUCAGAUGUGAAA
rnacentral:rRNA from 1 species